rnacentral:rRNA from 1 species
AAAAAGCUUCCGUAGGUGAACCUGCGGAAGGAUCAUUG